rnacentral:ncRNA from 1 species
CUCUUAUCAAGAGCAGGUGGAGGGACUAGCCCUAUGAUACCCGGCAACCGACAGUUCUUUGCAUAACAAAGACUGCACGGUGCUAAAUCUUGCGGAAGCUGUAGCGGCUUCUGAGAGAUGAGAG